rnacentral:lncRNA from 1 species
AGACUUAAUUUUCAACAUUGAGGUGAAAUUUGAGAGCAAUUCAAUAGUUGAAGAAGGAGAUGUUGGUCCUAGAAGUUCAGUAUUUAGGUUGGAGUAGGAGGCUAUCCAACACCUGAUUGGAUUAUCUUGUGUUUCUUUUAAUUAGUCAGUAUAAUCAAUUUCAUCUUUCUUGUGAUUGUUUCUAACUUAGAUAUUAAAAAGUAUACAAAUUUUGAGUUGAUAUCAAUGGUUUGAUGAUUAGUUCUUGGGAUUCUAUUUUAUCAUAAGAUUUGUUGAGAGUUUAUUUAAGAUCUAAGGUUUGAUUAAGAUUUAGUUUAGGAUUUGGUCUAAGAUUUGAUUAGGAUUAAGGUUUGUUUAGAAUUUAGUUUAAAACUUUAGAAAUUGUCUAGGAUUUAAGAUUUUCAUUAGGAUUUUAUUAAAAUUUGAUCUAAGAUUUGAUUAAGAUUCAAUUUAGAUUACAUUAUGAUUUCUAUUUUUAAUAUUAUUUUAGGAUUUUUUUAACUUUUUUUAACUUUUUUUAGUUUAUUUUGAUAAAUUAAAAUUUAAUUGGAUUUAUUAGUGAUUUCUUGAAGUUUCUUU